rnacentral:rRNA from 1 species
AUGUCAGGACGACAUAUCCUAGAGGGGGUGGUUGUCUUGCAUGAGACCCUUCAUGAAAUCCACUCAAAGAAACUUGAUGGCGUGAUCUUCAAAGUGGAUUUUGAAAAGGCCUACGAUAAAGUCAAGUGGCCUUUUUUGCAACAAGUUUUGCGCAUGAAAGGAUUUGACGAAGCCUGGAGAAAACAGGUCGAAUCCUUUGUGCAGGGAGGGAGCGUUGGUAUUAAAGUUAAUGACGAUAUUGGUCAUUACUUUCAAAUGCUUAAAGGAUUAAGACAGGGUGAUCCCAUGUCACCGGUCCUUUUUAAUAUUGUGGUUGAUAUGUUGAUUGUGCUUGUUAACAGAGCGAAACAAGAUGGUCAGGUAGGUGGUCUUAUCCCACAUCUAGUUGAUGGUGGGGUAUCUAUCCUACAAUACGCAGAUGAUACAAUUAUUUUCAUGGAGCAUGACCUCGCGAAAGCAAGGAACGUGAAGUUAGUUCUUUGCUUAUUCGAACAAAUGUCUGACCUCAAGAUUAAUUUUAAUAAGAGUGAAUUGUUCUGCUUUGGACACGCCAAGGAGGAGCAAGAAAGAUAUAAAUAG